rnacentral:lncRNA from 1 species
GUCGCCUGCAGUCCGUGGAGAAAAGUAGCUUUUUUUUCUGGUAAAGUUACACUGGGUACAUGGGCCACAUCAAUCAUUACCGUCCGGCACAUUGUCUAGGAAAGUACUACGUGGCUGUGGUGGAAGAUCAGACCUCACCACCAUUUGACUGAUGUUGGGGGCGUGUCUGAAGGCUACCCGUCGGGGUUCUUUAAUCGUCUUUUCCAGUUGUGGAUCAAUGAUCAAGACGUGCCAGUGUUUUAAUGAUGUGGUCCAACUGUUUACCAAGUGGGGAGAACUGAAGGAAGCAUUGAACAUGUUGGUCUGGAGGGAGGGAGGUUUGGGGAGUACUGAAGGAAGCAUUGAACAUGUUGGUCUGAAGGGAGGGGAGGUUUGGGGAGUACUGAAGGAAGCAUUGAACAUGUUGGUCUGGAGGGAGGGAGGUUUGGGGAGUACUGAAGGAAGCAUUGAACAUGUUGGUCUGGAGGGAGGGGAGGUUUGGGGAGAACUGAAGGAAGCAUUGAACAUGUUGGUCUGGAGGGAGGGAGGUUUGGGGAGAACUGAAGGAAGCAUUGAACGUGUUGAUCUGGAGGGAGGGGAGGUUUGGGGAGAACUGAAGGAAGCAUUGAACGUGUUGGUCUGGAGGGAGGGAGGUUUGGGGAGUACUGAAGGAAGCAUUGAACAUGUUGAUCUGGAGGGAGGGGAGGUUUGGGGAGUACUGAAGGAAGCAUUGUCGCUGUCUGAAACGCUCAUCCAGACAGUCCUCUGGGUAACCCCGCUGUCUGAAACACUCAUCCAG